rnacentral:ncRNA from 1 species
AUAGGUGUUGAUUCAUGGAGAUGAAUCAGGAAUGAGGUGAGAAUCCUCAACAGGGCCGCUGCUGUGAGAACGAGCCGCUUCUCAGAAUUUUGUGUUCAGCCACUGAUGGUUUCAUUGGGAAGGCGAGAAGUUGCGUUGGAUGUUCGAGUCAGAAUACGCGCCUAUGGGA